GGGAAAGUGGCUCAGUGGUAGAGAGCUUGCCUUGCAUGCAUGAGGUCCUGGGUUCGAUUCCUCAGCACCA
rnacentral:tRNA from 1 species